CCUACGGGUGGCAGCAGUGGGGGAUAUUGCACAAUGGGGGGAACCCUGAUGCAGCGACGCCGCGUGGGUGAAGAAGCGCCUCGGCGCGUAAAGCCCUGUCAGCAGGGAAGAAAAUGACGGUACCUGAAGAAGAAGCCCCGGCGAACUACGGGCCAGCAGCCGCGGUAAAACGUAGGGGGCAAGCGUUAUCCGGAUUUACUGGGUGUAAAGGGGGCGCAGACGGCGAGGCAAGCCAGGAGUGAAAGCCCGGGUCCCAACCCCGGGACUGCUCUGGAAACUGCGUGGCUGGAGGGCAGGAGGGGCAGGCGGAAUUCCUGGUGUAGCGGUGAAAUGCGUAGAUAUCAGGAGGAACACCGGUGGCGAAGGCGGCCUGCUGGACUGCAACUGACGUUGAGGCCCGAAAGCGUGGGGAGCAAACAGGAUUAGAUACCCCAGUAGUC
rnacentral:rRNA from 1 species